UGGGGAAUAUUGCGCAGUGGGGGGAACCCUGACGCAGCCAUGCCGCGUGAAUGAAGAAGGCCUUAGGGUUGUAAAGUUCUUUCGGUAUUGAGGAAGGUUGAUGUGUUAAUAGCACAUCAAAUUGACGUUAAAUACAGAAGAAGCACCGGCUANCUCCGUGCCAGCAGCCGCGGUAAUACGGAGGGUGCGAGCGUUAAUCGGAAUAACUGGGCGUAAAGGGCACGCAGGCGGUUAUUUAAGUGAGGUGUGAAAGCCCCGGGCUUAACCUGGGAAUUGCAUUUCAGACUGGGUAACUAGAGUACUUUAGGGAGGGGUAGAAUUCCACGUGUAGCGGUGAAAUGCGUAGAGAUGUGGAGGAAUACCGAAGGCGAAGGCAGCCCCUUGGGAAUGUACUGACGCUCAUGUGCGAAAGCGUGGGGAGCAAACAGGAUUAGAUACCCUGGUAGUCCACGCUGUAAACGCUGUCGAUUUGGGGGUUGGGGUUUAACUCUGGCGCCCGUAGCUAACGUGAUAAAUCGACCGCCUGGGGAGUACGGCCGCAAGGUUA
rnacentral:rRNA from 1 species